rnacentral:ncRNA from 1 species
UUAAUACUGCCACCGGGUAGUAUAAUCUACAAGCAUUCAAAACACAUCAUUAGGUCCUAGGAGAUGUGUUUUCGAAUGCUUAUUUAUUU